CCCACCCUCAUCCCGGCACGUGAUGACGUAGGACGUAAGGACGCCCCCCCCCGCCGGUAGCCAUCUUCGUGCAUAGGCAAACUUAUUGUAGCUAGACUGUACAAAGUAUAUCAAGAUAUGCCAAAUAUUGAGCUUAACUUCACCUGUUUGAGAGACGGUGUUUCUUUUAGCUUGCAACACCAUGAAAAAAUUACUGAGACACUAGGAAUGCUGUGAACUGAGAAAGUUUGGGACCUUUGGCAUAACUAAAUCCUUCAUUUAACAGAUGGAGUCUCAGUCUGUCACUAAGGCUGGAGUGCAGUGGCGCGAUCUCGGCUCACUGCAACCUCCACCUCCCGGGUUCACGCGAUUCUCCAGCCUCAGCCUUCCACGUAGCUGGGACUACAGGUGCAUGCCACCACACCCAGUGUUGUGAACCACUUGUCAUGGGAUAACCAAAAUUAAACCUGGAAUCGCAGAAGAAACAAAUUUUUUGAAGAAAUUGGAUGUACUUUUUUAAAAUUUUUCAUUCAACUAAAACUUUGUUAACUGUUUCUUGGUUGUGGUCUUCUCUAAAUUGUAAUCUUUGGCAUUCACUUCCAAAGUAUCCACCACUAAACUUCAUAACAUUUAUUGUGUCUCUUCAUCAUUAAACUUUGAUGAAUUUACAGAGUGUCUUUUGAAAUUAUGUUCUUGAGAAAGCCAGGGGAUUGGACGGUGUCAUGGAAAUGUCAAAGAAAAAGUGACACCUGAGAGAAAAUUUGAAAGAUGAAAGGUGCACAUCAUGGAGACAAUCUGACUGGUACAGAGAAAUGAAGAGACAACAUUUUCUUUCCAAAUCUGAGUGGAGAUGAAGAUUCCUGAAACAACAAUCAAAAGGAACUUUGGACUCUGACUGAGGACACAUCCAGCAAUGGCAAAGCACUCUAGCCACUGCCCAGACCCAUGGAAACUUCAGGAAGAGGCAGUUUAGUGCUUCUGGUAGUUGUCUAAUCAAGAUUAGGACUCUUAUUUAUCAUCUUCCUCUGGCAUUUUUGCACCAGUCUUCAGGUUUUAGCAUAGUAAAUAUGUUCCAGUCUGUGAAAUCUCUCUGUUUUAUUCCAAAUAAAUAAAAAAGCA
rnacentral:lncRNA from 1 species